rnacentral:tRNA from 2 species
GAGCCUUUAGCUUAAUGGUAAAGUAUCCUUCUGUCGCAAGGAAUAUUGUCAGUUCGAAUCUGAUAAGGCUCG